GUGGGGAAUAUUGCACAAUGGGGGAAACCCUGAUGCAGCCAUGCCGCGUGUGUGAAGAAGGCCUUCGGGUUGUAAAGCACUUUCAGCGAGGAGGAAAGGGGUGAUGCUAAUACCAUCAUCCUGUGACGUUACUCGCAGAAGAAGCACCGGCUAACUCCGUGCCAGCAGCCGCGGUAAUACGGAGGGUGCAAGCGUUAAUCGGAAUUACUGGGCGUAAAGCGCACGCAGGCGGUCAGAUAAGUCAGAUGUGAAAGCCCCGGGCUCAACCUGGGAACUGCAUUUGAAACUGUCUGACUAGAGUCUUGUAGAGGGGGGUAGAAUUCCAGGUGUAGCGGUGAAAUGCGUAGAGAUCUGGAGGAAUACCGGUGGCGAAGGCGGCCCCCUGGACAAAGACUGACGCUCAGGUGCGAAAGCGUGGGGAGCAAACAGGAUUAGAAACCCCGGUAGUCC
rnacentral:rRNA from 1 species